UGCUCUCACAUUUCCAGACUGACGUUUCUUAACAAUCAGUGCGUGAAUCCAUAAAUCCAAUCAGAGCGGCUCCUCUUGCGAAUAGCAACCAGCUUCACGCUGCUCGCUCUCAGCCAAUCACAGAGGGCUCUUCCACUGACGUAAGGUGCCCUGUUGUUUUUCACUGCGGUGCAACAAAGACCAGUGGAAGAGCGAUCUCUGCAGCUCCGCUCAGCUGACACUUCGGAGCAGAUUUUCUACCUGGAAACAUCGGAAGCUGAUCGGAACCGCCGUCAGACAGAGACACGGACCUCCCCGGACCCCCAGGGCCCGAUUAGGUCUGAAAAUUGACGAUGGGAGGAGGUCAGAGUCAUGAGAAGGAGGAUGAGGAGCAAAGAGGAGGAGCUGAAGAACAUAAGAAGCCUGAGGAGGCUGAAUCUUCUGAAGAGUCGUCAGGUGAGCUGCCCCAGUGCAGGAUCGGAAACAGGAUGGUGGACAACAUGUGCUUCAUGAUCUCGUGCACCAACUGGUAUUGAACUGGUGCAGACUGGAGGAAGAUGGAUGAAACGUUCCAGAAGCAAACCUUCAGGAAGUUUGGUCUUCAGUUCCCAAGUUUAAUCAUAAAUCAUCUUUUGAAAAACCAUCCAGGUGUGGUUUAUGGGUUCGGAUCCGUUAGUUUACUGCAGGAAGAGCAGAGGUUGCAUGAUGCGGUCAGAACCUGAGGUUCUGUUGGAUAGAGGAGGAUUCAUGAAGUCACCUUCUUAUGAUCUAAAAUUAAUCUGAUUGUCUUCAUCGCUGCAUCAGGCUUGAUCCUGCAAAAGCUGAAACCAGAAUUUAUACGUGUGUAGCAGCGCUCUAAUGGCUGAACGUAGAAACAUGGAUGCUGCUGUUAAGUUUUCUUUUUUUUAAAGUCUGAGUUUUUCAACCCUGCUUCCACUGAAAUGUUUCAGUUUCUCUGCAGCUUCAGCAGAAAAGAUGCAACAGCUGGUGAUGUGGAGCUGAUUCAUCCGGAUUUAAACUGAUGCUCUGAUGAUAAAGAUUAAAAUGAACAGAGAACAA